GUCUUUCAGACUCGGCUUUGGAGACCCGGAUCACAGAUCAUGUGUUAAAUUCCACAGAGUGCUAUUAUUAUCGAGGAGAGAGCAUUGGAAACAACCUAUAAAUAGGUGAUCUACUUAAAAUGGUGGUGUAUACUUGAGUGUGCUAGCCACACAACACGACCGUACUUAUAAUUCUGUGUACAGAGAAACUAAAUAUUCCACUAGAUCGAUAUAUUGGCCAAGUUAUAUUUUUCCACAGAUUUGGUCUGUGUGUACGUAUACAAACGGAACUCCAUUUAAUACCAAAAAAAAAAAGGAUUAAUUCACAGUUUGGACAAGAUGGUACGAGUUAUCCUGAAGUAUGGACCCUACCAGAGGUGAAACGGCAUCUACCACAAUGCAGGAAAGGUCCAGGGCUUGUUGUCGGCUAUAGCCUGUUCUGGUCACGUGGUCAUCACUCAAAAGACGGAGAAGCAUGAAGCAUGUGAGGUGUACAUUGAUUCCAAACGAGUUUGGUCAUGUAACAUUAAAGGGCUGCAACCAGGUGACGGCCAUUCCCAUCCAUUGUGUGUUGAGGCUCUGAAGGCUAUAAAAGCUCACAGGGCAUCGUAAUAUAUAUGUAAUAUGAUGUGAUAAACAAUAGGUAUGACCUUUAUACCUACCUACGUCUUCAAUGACGGUUCCUUCUUAAAGACGAGACUGGUCGGAACCUGAUGUCCUCAGACUGUAAAACCAAAAUAAAAGUAUAUAAAUUAUUUCAUACACCUUGAUUGUC